rnacentral:rRNA from 1 species
GAUGAACGCUGGCGGCGUGCCUAAUACAUGCAAGUCGAGCGAACAGACGAGGAGUUUGCUCCUCUGACGUUAGCGGCGGACGGGUGAGUAACACGUGGAUAACCUAUCUUUAAGACCGGGAUAACUUCGGGAAACCGGAGCCAAUACCGGAUAAUCUAUUGAACCGCAUGGUUCAAUAGUGAAAGACGGAUUUGCUUUUACUUAUAGAUGGUUCCGCGCCGCAUUAGCUAGUUGGUAAGGUAACGGCAUACCAAGGCAACGAUGCGUAGCCGACCUGGGAGGGUGAUCGGGCACACUGGAACUGAGACACGGUCCAGGCUCCUACGGGAGGCAGAAGUAGGGAAUCUUACGCAAUGGGCGAAAGCCUGACGGAGAAGCGGCGCGUGAGUGAUGAAGGUCUUCGGAUCGUAAAACUCUGUUAUUAGGGAAGAACAAGUGGGUAAGUAACUAUGCACGUCUUGACGGUACCUAAUCAGAAAGCCACGGCUAACUACGUG